GGGGAUGUAGUACAGUGGUUAGUACAUUAUGUUUGCAUCAUAGUAACUGGGGUUCGAUUCCCCACCUCUCCA
rfam:Cryptococcus gattii R265 mitochondrial scaffold supercont2.28, whole genome shotgun sequence.